rnacentral:rRNA from 1 species
GAUGAACGCUGGCGGCGUGCCUAAUACAUGCAAGUCGAGCGAACAGACGAGGAGCUUGCUCCUCUGACGUUAGCGGCGGACGGGUGAGUAACACGUGGAUAACCUACCUAUAAGACUGGGAUAACUUCGGGAAACCGGAGCUAAUACUGGAUAAUAUAUUGAACCGCAUGGUUCAAUAGUGAAAGACGGUUUUGCUGUCACUUAUAGAUGUAUCCGCGCCGCAUUAGCUAGUUGGUAAGGUAACGGCUUACCAAGGCAACGAUGCGUAGCCGACCUGAGAAGGUGAUCGGCCACACUGGAACUGAGACACGGUCCAGACUCCUACGGGAGGCAGCAGUAGGGAAUCUUCCGCAAUGGGCGAAAGCCUGACGGAGCAACGCCGCGUGAGUGAUGAAGGUCUUCGGAUCGUAAAACUCUGUUAUUAGGGAAGAACAAAUGUGUAAGUAACUAUGCACGUCUUGACGGUACCUAAUCAGAAAGCCACGGCUAACUACGUG